rnacentral:rRNA from 1 species
CUAACAAGGAUUCCCCUAGUAACGGCGAGUGAAGCGGGAAGAGCUCAAGCUUAAAAUCUCCGUGCAAGUUUUGCGCGGCGAAUUGUAGUCUAUAGAGGCGUGGUCAGCGUGAGCACUUGGGGCAAGUUCCUUGGAAGAGGACAGCAUGGAGGGUGAUACUCCCGUUCAUCCCUGAGUUGCUCGUGCGUACGACCCGUUUUCUUUGAGUCGCGUUGUUUGGGAAUGCAGCGCAAAGUAGGUGGUAAAUUCCAUCUAAAGCUAAAUAUUGGUGCGAGACCGAUAGCGAACAAGUACCGUGAGGGAAAGAUGAAAAGAACUUUGAAAAGAGAGUUAAAGAGUACCUGAAACUGCUGAAAGGGAACCGAAUCGUUUCCAGUGUCUAUAAUCUGUGGCAUAUUUCAUUGGCGAGUGUGUGCGUGCGUGUGCUGUGGCAGUGGCUUUUUUGGCUGCGCUCGGUGUGUGUGCUGUGUGUGCUUGCUGGUGCCCUGUGCUGCGGUGGGACGUCAAGGUCAGUUCGUAUGCUGCGGGAAAUGGCUGCCGAGGAGGUAGGGCUUACGCUUGCGUUUGUCUGUUAUAUCUUGGUGGACGAGUAGUCGCGGUUGGGACUGAGGUGCCUACAACGUGCUUUUGAGUGUGUCUGUGUCUCCGUGUGMGCCGUGUGCGGAUAGCUUGCUAUGCGUGUGUGGUUGUGUGUGGAUUGAUGCGGGCUUUAACUUGUUGCCGUUCGGGACGUUGACGAAAUGGAGCGAUCCGACCCGUCUUGAAACACGGACCAAGGAGUCUAACAUGUGUGCAAGUGUUAGGGUGUGGAAACCCCAGCGCGAAAUGAAAGUGAAGGGCAGCGCAAGUUGUCUGAGGUAGGAAACGUUGUGGGCUUCGGUCUGCGGCGUGGCACUAUCGACCGAUCAUGAACCUUCGUGGUGAAAGAUUUGAGUUUGAGCACAUAUGUUGGUACCCGAAAGAUGGUGAACUAUGCCUGAGUAGGGUGAAGCCAGGGGAAACUCUGGUGGAAGCUCGUAGCGAUUCUGACGUGCAAAUCGAUCGUCAAACUUGGGUAUAGGGGCGAAAGACUAAUCGAACCAUCUAGUAGCUGGUUCCCUCCGAAAUUUCCCUCAGGAUAGCAGCAACUUAUUUACGAUAGUUUUAUGAGGUAAAGCGAAUGAUUAGAGGAUUCGGGGAAGAAACUUCCUCGACCUAUUCUCAAACUUUAAAUCUGUAAGACCUGCAGGUUUCUUAAUUGAACUUGUGGAUGUGAAUAUCAA